rnacentral:rRNA from 1 species
UACGGAGGGGGCGAGCGUUAUCCGGAAUGAUUGGGCGUAAAGCGUCCGCAGGUGGCUGUGUAAGUCUGCUGUCAAAGAGCGAAGCUCAACUUCGUAAAGGCAGUGGAAACUACACGGCUAGAGUGCGUUCGGGGCAGAGGGAAUUCCUGGUGUAGCGGUGAAAUGCGUAGAGAUCAGGAAGAACACCGGUGGCGAAGGCGCUCUGCUAGGCCGCAACUGACACUGAGGGACGAAAGCUAGGGGAGCGAAUGGG